UGUGCCUUACACAUGCAAGUCGGACGGAGGACUUCGGUCCUUAGUGGCAAACGGGUGAGUAAUGGAUAGGUUAUCUACCGGGAAGAGGGGGAUACCCCUUCGAAAGAAGGAUCAAUACCCCGUACGCUCCUUACGGAGGAAAGGUGGUGCAAGCCACCGCUUCCUGAUGAGCCUAUCUCCUAUCAGCUAGUUGGUAAGGUAAUGGCUUACCAAGGCUAUGACGGGUAGCUGGUCUGAGAGGAUGAUCAGCCACACUGGAACUGAGACACGGUCCAGACUCCUACGGGAGGCAGCAGUGGGGAAUUUUGGGCAAUGAGCGAAAGCUUGACCCAGCGACACUGCGUGGGCGAAGAAGAUCUUUGGAUUGUAAAGCCCUUUUGUUGGGGAGUAAGCGAAUGCGCAGGAAAUGGCGUGUUCGUUGCAAGUACCCGACGAAUAAGCCCCAGCCAACUACGUGCCAGCAGCUGCGGUAAUACGUAGGGGGCAAGCGUUGUCCGGAAUUACUGGGUGUAAAGGGUGUGCAGGCGUCUUGCUAAGUUGGGUGUGAAAUCCCGGAGCUCAACUCCGGAGCGGCAUCCAAUACUGACAAGAUCGAGGUUAUGAGAGGGAAGCGGAACUCCCGGUGUAGCGGUGAAAUGCGUAGAGAUCGGGAAGAACACCAGAGGCGAAGGCGGCUUCCUAACAUAAUACUGACGCUCAGACACGAAAAGCUAGGGGAGCAAACAGGAUUAGAUACCCUGGUAGUCCUAGCCCUAAACGAUGAAUACUAGGUGUUGGAGGAUUCACUCCUUCAGCGUCGUAGCUAACGCGUUAAGUAUUCCACCUGGAAAGUACGGUCGCAAGGCUGAAACUCAAAGGAAUUGACGGGUACCCGCACAAGCAGCGAGGCAUGUGGUUUAAUUCGAGGCUACACGAAGAACCUUACCUGGGCUUGACAUGUUGCUGAAAGAUCUAAGAAACUAGAUCCUUUUUCAUAGCAAUAUGAAAACAGUUUCACAGGUGGUGCAUGGUUGUCGUCAGCUCGUGCCGUGAGGUGUAAGGUUAAGUCCUUGAACGAGCGCAACCCACGUCGUUAUUUGCCACGGAGCAAUCCAGCUACUAUAACGAUACCGCCGGCGACGAGCCGGAGGAAGGCGUGGACGACGUCAAAUCAUCACGCCCCUUAUGUCCAGGGCUACACACAUGCGACAAUGGUCGGAACAAUGAGUUGCCAAGCAGUAAUGCGGAGCUAAUCUCCAAAGCCGGCCUCAGUACAGAUCGAGGGUUGCAACCCACCCUCGUGAAGAUGGAGUUGCUAGUAAACGCAAGUCAGCUAUAUUGCGUUGAAUACGUUCCCGGGUAU
rnacentral:rRNA from 1 species